AACGAACGCUGGCGGCAGGCUUAACACAUGCAAGUCGAACGCCCCGCAAGGGGAGUGGCAGACGGGUGAGUAACGCGUGGGAACGUGCCCUUCGCUUCGGAAUAUUCCCGGGAAACUGGGAGCAAUGCCGGAUACGCCGAAUUGGGAAAGAUUUAUCGGCGGAGGAUCGGCCCGCGUUAGAUUAGGUAGUUGGUGGGGUAAUGGCCUACCAAGCCUACGAUCUAUAGCUGGUCUGAGAGGAUGAUCAGCCACACUGGGACUGAGACACGGCCCAGACUCGUACGGGAGGCAGCAGUGGGGAAUCUUGGACAAUGGGCGCAAGCCUGAUCCAGCCAUGCCGCGUGAGUGAAGAAGGCCUUAGGGUUGUAAAACUCUUUCGCCGGUGAAGAUAAUGACGGUAGCCGGAGAAGAAGCCCCGGCUAACUUCGUGCCAGCCGCCGCCGUAACAC
rnacentral:rRNA from 1 species